GGAAUAUUGGACAAUGGGCGCAAGCCUGAUCCAGCCAUGCCGCGUGUGUGAAGAAGGCCUUCGGGUUGUAAAGCACUUUCAGCGAGGAGGAAGGGAUGUAUGUUAAUAGCAUGCAUUUUUGACGUUACUCGCAGAAGACUCACCGGCUAACUCUGUUCCCGCAGCCGCGGUAAUACAGAGGGUGCCAGCGUUAAUCGGAAUUACUGGGCGUAAAGCGCACGGAGGCGGUUAGUUAAGUUGGAUGUGAAAGCCCCGGGCUCAACCUGGGAAUUGCAUUCAAAACUGGCUAACUAGAGUAUGUGAGAGGGGGGUAGAAUGCCAAGUGUAGCGGUGAAAUGCGUAGAGAUUUGGAGGAAUACCAGUGGCGAAGGCGGCCCCCUGGCACAAUACUGACGCUGAGGUGCGAAAGCGUGGGGAGCAAAC
rnacentral:rRNA from 1 species